GAGUGGGUAGUUCAGCGGUUACGAUGUUGGACACUGAUUAGAAGGUCAUGAGUUCAAACCCCAGCCCUGCCA